AUUUCUGAGUGCUUAGCCAGGAGUAACCCCUGAGCAUCAAACGGGUAAAGAAAGAAAGAAAGAGAAAGAAAGAAGAAAGAAAGAAAGAAAGAAAGAAAGAAAGAAAGAAAGAAAGAAAGAAAGAAAGAAAGAAAGAAAGAAAGAAAGAAAGAAAGAAAGAAAGAAAGAAAGAAAGAAAGAAAGAAAGAAAGAAAGAUGGAAGAAAGAAA